GAGUUUGAUCAUGGCUCAGAACGAACGCUGGCGGCAUGCCUAACACAUGCAAGUCGAACGAACUCUUCGGAGUUAGUGGCGCACGGGUGCGUAACGCGUGGGAAUCUGCCCUUGGGUACGGAAUAACUCAGAGAAAUUUGUGCUAAUACCGUAUAAUGACUUCGGUCCAAAGAUUUAUCGCCCAAGGAUGAGCCCGCGUAAGAUUAGCUAGUUGGUGGGUAAAGGCCUACCAAGGCUACGAUCUUUAGCUGGUCUGAGAGGAUGAUCAGCCACACUGGGACUGAGACACGGCCCAGACUCCUACGGGAGGCAGCAGUGGGGAAUAUUGGACAAUGGGCGAAAGCCUGAUCCAGCAAUGCCGCGUGAGUGAUGAAGGCCUUAGGGUUGUAAAGCUCUUUUACCCGGGAUGAUAAUGACAGUACCGGGAGAAUAAGCUCCGGCUAACUCCGUGCCAGCAGCCGCCGCAGUAAC
rnacentral:rRNA from 1 species